rnacentral:rRNA from 1 species
CGCUGUACACACCGCCCGUCGCUACUACCGAUGGAAUGGCUCGGUGAGGCCUUCGGACUGGCGCAGGAGGGUUGGCAACGACCCCCCCGCGCCGGAAAGUUGGUCAAACCCGGUCAUUUAGAGGAAGUAAAAGUCGUAACAAGGUUUCCGUAGGUGAACCUGCGGAAGGAUCAUUACUGAGUGCGGGCUGCCUCCGGGCGCCCAACCUCCCACCCGUGAAUACCUAACACUGUUGCUUCGGCGGGGAACCCCCUCGGGGGCGAGCCGCCGGGGACUACUGAACUUCAUGCCUGAGAGUGAUGCAGUCUGAGUCUGAAUAUAAAAUCAGUCAAAACUUUCAACAAUGGAUCUCUUGGUUCCGGCAUCGAUGAAGAACGCAGCGAACUGCGAUAAGUAAUGUGAAUUGCAGAAUUCAGUGAAUCAUCGAGUCUUGGAACGCACAUUGCGCCCCCUGGCAUUCCGGGGGGCAUGCCUGUCCGAGCGUCAUUGCUGCCCAUCAAGCCCGGCUUGUGUGUUGGGUCGUCGUCCCCCCCGGGGGACGGGCCCGAAAGGCAGCGGCGGCACCGUGUCCGGUCCUCGAGCGUAUGGGGCUUUGUCACCCGCUCGACUAGGGCCGGCCGGGCGCCAGCCGACGUCUCCAACCAUUCUCUUCAGGUGACCUCGGAUCAGGUAGCUACGGGGUAAC